rnacentral:lncRNA from 1 species
AAAUUUGCUCCAUUCCCCCAUUAUUUCCUCUCUCUUCUUUCCCUCUCAUCACUCUCUCUUCUCUCUCCCCCAAGCCACUGCCGCCGCCGGCGGACCACCUCCAAACACCUCCAAAUUCACACCAUGUAAUCUCCACAACUUCCUCUUUCCAUAUCUCCAAACCAAAUCCUUCAAAAAUCCCUCAAACUCCUUGAAUCUUAGAUCUAGGAAACUUUCCCGUCACUUUUUUGCCCAAAUUAUUGAAGCUCCAACCACUACCACCCCACAAUAUCUACAUAAAUGGAUAGAGCUCCUCAAGACCUAGCUAUUGAUGCCAAUUUCACCCUGAAAAUAUGGCGACCAAAAUCCGGCCAAAUUCCGGCGACCUCCCCGAACACCCUCUUUUGGCAUACCACCAUUUUUUCGGCCACUUGAAUUGUAAAAUGAUCAAAUCCUAUUCUUUCUGAUUUUUUAUUUUUAUUUUUAUUUGUCAGAUUUUAUUUUGUCUAUUAUUAAUUAUUUUAGCAUUAGUUUUUGAAGUUUUAAUUGUUAAAUUUUCUGUUUUUGCACUUGUUAAAGCAGUAAAAUAGUUUUGUAUUGAUAAAAGUGAGGUAGUGAAAAAUACUUAAGAGUAUAUGGUACUUGUUGGGUUGUUUAUUGCUGCUGAAGACUCUUUGAGUACAACACUCAAAGGUCAAAUUGUUUUUAAGAAAAUGUAGAUCUUUGGACAGUGUUUGAAUAAAAGUUUGUCUUUGAAUAGUGGAGAGCAAAUUUGUUUGAAAUACUUGACAAGAUUUGAACCAAAAAGUCUGGCCUUUUGAAUUUAAGAGCAGAUUUUGUAGAAAAAUCUGUCAAAAAGAUUGAUUUUUAUUUUUUGAAAUAGCUGGUUGUUUUGAUAUAUAGGGGGGACUCCAUCACACUUCCAGGGGGCAUUUUUUAUAAUUGCUUUGUCACAAAAACAAAAAAAAUUCAGCAGUUGAACACAUGAAAAGUAAGCUGAAAUGGUGAGCUUUGGGAAUGAAUCUUAGAGUGCAAACUUUUAAAAAAAGUAUAAGUCCUCUUUAGGGUUCGUUUCUGGGUUCCCUCUCUAAGUUUUCGGGUUGUUUUAACACGGAUUUGCUGCUGGUUUUGCUGCUGUUUUACUGCUGGUUUUAUGCUGCUUUAGUUGCUGAACUACUGUUUAUUCUUUUGCUACCAGGUAUUCCUUUAAGACUCGUAAUGUACGUAUUUUCAGCAAUGGGAACA